CACGUGCAAAGGGCAAAACAAUGCACUAAAGUCUCUAUCUUUUAUAUUGAACUUUUCAUUUCUAGAAUACAUAUUCACAUGCUGCAAAUGGAUGUUGAAGGCAGCAACUAUUCUCCAUAGGCGUAGCAACUAUUUUCCAUAAGGCAGCAUUCAUUUGUAAGGUGAUAAAUAUUAAGGGUCGGAUCCAUGGACCACUAAAAGAGGUGAAAUCCAAAUCUUAUUCAAGUGAUGAAUAUAUUGGAAUGGAAAGUGAGGGCAGCAGCAACUUGUACGAAUUGCAAUGGAAUAUUUCCAUUGCUGGAGGAAAUUAACAUGACCGGAUAUCCUUAGUGGCAACACUGGUCAAUUUUGUUACGCAUUUAGCUCACUGUUUCAAUCUCGUCAUUCCGUUUAUCGCGUUGUAGGAUCCGGGCUUUCUUUGAAGUGAAGUAAGGUGGAAGAAGAUUAAAUCUUGGCAUAUAAGGCUAAAAGAGCGACGAGACGAACGGGUUACGAAUAGCCGCUAACAGGUAUGUAAAGUUAUCCCUUCUUUCUUUUGGCAUGGUGAUGACUGAUAUGAACUUUGGAGUAAUUCCAUUCAUAAGCUUUGAGUAAUAUUUAUGAUUCUUAUUCACUUCUUGAUAUUACAAUUCUCAAGUGAUUGAGCCUUCCUCUUCAGUUUCUGUACGUAGGAUAAUUGUCGAUACAUAAGCUCCUAUUCUCAGGAACUUGGUAAUAACUAAUGUCCAGGCUUCUAUAAAUUGUUUCAUAUAAUCUUGAUACAUGUCCAUGAUUUCUAAGUCUCUUGAUAUAUUCUAAAAUGACAUUCGAGGGAUACUUGAUAUGAUUGUCGCUAUUAAUACUCAAGUGUUAACCUUUUCUUCCUAUCCUGUUGAGUCUUGAUAAUGAUUUAAAUUGCAUAUGGUUUCUCACUACUCUGCUCGUGCAUGCCUCAAUAUGUCUUUCACCUAGUCCCGGGUCGGGUAUGUUAUCGUGCAUAGUUUCACUGCAUUGUUCACCGAGUCCCUCACUAGAGGGCCGGGUACGGUAUAUAUAUAUAUAUAUAUAUAUUAUGGUGUUAUGCUGUGUUAUGGAGUUAUGCUGUGUUACGGAGUUAUGCUAUGUUACGGAGUUAUACUAUAUUCUGGAGUAUGAUGUGUUAUGGCGCCAAAGACGGGGUGGCGACCAUGUUCACCGAGUCCCAUAAUGGGGCCGGAUAUGAUAUAUGAUAUUGAUAUGCAUGAUUUAUGUUUCAAAGGCAAGUGUUUUGGUAUUCUGGAUAUUGUACCCGUUUUCUGUAUUCCUUAUUUAAGUUAUGAUCCUUUUUACUGUAUUUCAUGUUUUACAUGCUCAAUACAUAUUCCAUACUGACCCCCUUUCUUCGGGGGGCUGCGUUUCAUGCCCGCAGGUGCAGAUACUCGCUUUGGUGAUCCGUCAGCUUAGGAUUCCCUUUCUGAUGCCUUGGAGAGCUCCGUUGUUCCGGAGUCUAGACUUUUGGUUUGAAUAUUAUGAUAUAUAUAUAUAUAUAUGUGUGUGUGUGUGUGUUAUCCAGGGGUACGAUGGGGCCCUGUCCCGUCAUAUUUCGCUAUUCGUACUCUUAGAGGUCUGUAGACAUAUGUGUGGGUUGUGUAUGGGUUUUGUUCAGCUGUGUCUAUGCGAUGUGCUGUGGUAUGAUGUCCGUCUAUAGUGGCAGCCUUGUCGGCUUGCAUACGAUAUUGAUAUGUGAUGGCAGCCUUGUCAGCUUGCGUAUUAUUUCAUGAUAUGACUAGUUGUGACUCCUCAGGAGACAGUGAUCUGGAAGUAUAUAUAUGUGAUGAUGUUACGAACUAUGUAGUUCCUUUACAACUUUCCGUAUUGUCGUAGUUUCAGUGUGACUAUAUCUGAUAGGUACGUAUACGGGUGUCCAGGUCGGGCACCAGUCACGGCCUACGGGGUUGGGUCGUGACAAAAGUGGUAUCAGAGCAGUUCGUCCUUGGAGUGUCUACAGAUCGUGUGUAGUAGAGUCUUGUUUAUCGUUGUGUUGUGCACCACAUCUAUAAACAGGAAGCUACAGGGCAUUUAGGAUGUUACCUUUCUUUCAUAUCUAAGAUCGUGCGAUAGAGCCCAGUCAUAGGAAAUGAAAUUCCUUAUACUAACCUUUGAUUUCAGCUGAAGAACGACAUCGACAGAAGAAACGACCGAUGAUAUUGGAAGCUACACGGUACACAGGUAAGCAGUGGUGCGAAAGAGGCAUGUUGGAUAAGGUAAGAAUAUAGAAACAUGAUUGGAAUGUAAAGUUGGAGGACGAAAGAGAAGCUGGAUAGGAAAGUAUAACAGAACAGAUCGUUGAAGGAUCAGGUACGUCUCGAGGUUCGAUAUGUGAGGUAAGUCCCGACACCUUUAUACUUUUUUCUGGAAAUUGGGAGCCCUGUGUGGCCAUGAUAUGAUAUGAUAUAUGCGUAUAUAUGUUGGCCCUGUGAGGCAUUGUUGGUAUUUCCUGCGUGCAGGUUCUGGGAUAGUAAAAAUACAGAGGAAACUCUGCCCAAAUUUACCCAGAAAUAGGAAAAAGGGAGAGAAUGAGAUAUAAGUUCAUAAUAUGUCUUGAAAAUCGAUACUGAUAGGGUAAAUUUGAUAUGUUGGACUAAAGCUUUAAGAGAUACCGUCCAUGUAGUCCGUAAGGGGCACUAUUCUUAUCUGGAAAAUUUUAUUUCGAAAAAGCAUAUAUGAGCAGCAAAGUUUGCAAUUCAUUUGGACGGACCAGAAUACUUUCCAACCACAUUUUGCCUUAGAAAAGCCCAUGUUGAAGGGUAAAAACGUCUAGUAAUUAAGUUUCACUUUUAUUGAAAAGUACAAAGCAUACAGCCCGUAGUUUAUGAACUAAAUGAUUCGUUCACGACUCAAGAAUAAACCUGGAGGUAAAUCAUGUGAAUCAAGCACUAAGAAGUCCUGUGGUGCUUGUCGGAUUCUAGUUCUCUUCUGGUGGUGGUUGGAGAAUGCUUCAUAGUAACAUUUCAUUAGUUCUUAACCAACUAAUUGGAGAUGGAAUUUGCAGAAGGAAAACUUAAACUUGUGGGCUGUCUUAGAUCAUGUGUUUCAUGUGUUGUUGAUGAAAUGCUUGGAUGAUUCGGAAGGGCUUGUGAUACUAAGGGAUGAUUUAGAAAAGGCUGGCAACUCUUAAUAGAGUAUUAUAUUGAGGUACCACUGAAUUGACAAGCAGGGAUAAAUUACUACGGGUUUAUAGUUAGAAGAAAUAACAGUAUGAUUGAGACAAGAGUACAGAGGAAGAAGAGUUAUGACAAAUUAUGAAGGUAUUGAUAAGACAGCAUGUGAGAUAUUAUGGGUAAGAUUGAUCAGAAAGGGUGAAGGGUUAAGUACGCCUAGUCCACGGAGUGUAAUUAAAAACAUAGUGAAAAUUGUGAAUAAGAUUAAGAAGUGUUACGUUAUAGGAUGGAUUACGAAUAGGAUAUAAUGUGAAUAUAAUGAGGAUUGUUAUGAAAAUAAGUAAAGCCUAGUGAGGAAGUGACUAAAAGAUAUGAUGUGAUCUAUGUGACUAAAGUAUAAAGGCGAGCUAUAGAGCAGAUAAGAAAGACUUAUAAAGUUCUUCUGUAGGGAAAGUUUAGAAUAAAGGUUAUGUGAUAACGGAAAUGAUAGCGAGCACCAGAGAAGAAAGAGUAAUUGAAAGAAGGAAAUAAGAAGAAAGCGAGAUAACAGUGUAGCAAUAAGUCAUGACAUGUGUAGCCGAGGACACGAGUACUAUAAGUGACGGAACUGUGAAAGACCAAGUUAUAGAAAGAUGAGCAACGAGGUAGAAUGAGCAGAAUACGUUUUGAAAAUAAGAAAUGGAUUAUGCAAAAGUGAUGUUUUCCGAAGGGUACAGAGGUAGCACAAGAUUCCUCGUGCACAAAAUAAAAGAUAGACAUAGACGGGAGAAAUGAUAAGGGAAUUUUAAAGGAAGUACCCAAGAUAGAUGUAAUAAAUGGAGUAUGACUGAUAAAUAAAAAGGAAAUAUAUGGCUACGAAAUUAAAGGUGUGGUAUGACGACAAGGUGAUAAGAUAAGAUUAUCAUUAAGAUGAACUUGAUAUGAUUUUGAGUAAGUUAGAAGUCAGUACUGAGCACACAACAAGGAUAAAAGGGUAUAAGGCAUAAAGGAGUCCUGCGUGUGCACGACUUUACCUCGAAAAUAGUGGAAUCCUUAAAGGACAAAGACGGUAGGCUUGAGGAGCAAAUGAUGUAUUGUAAAUCUAUUAAAGAAAACAGAUGAUAUAGGUUGGGAUAGAGAUAAUGUUACAAGAGGACUUUGGACACUUAUCAUCUGAAUAUAGGUGCUAUCUAAUUGAGAUUGGAACGACUACAAGUACUAAUUAAUUAUUGAUUGGAGUAAGUGGAAUGUGGCCUUGGACGAGUUGCUAGUUGGUCGCAUUACUUGAAUAUAGAUUAUCAGAUAAGAUUUUGUACUAUAUAUAUAUAGAAAGGCUCUCGUCGCUUCGUGAUUUUGUUGAGAUUUCGUACGUAGAUAAUCAAAGUUAUAGAUUAUAAGGAAAAGACAUGGAUAUGAUAUAGUAUACUAAGCGAAUUGGAAAAAGAUCAGAUGAAUUUGAGAUUGGAAAUAGGGACAUAGAGCAGAGUAUAAACGGAUGAUGGUAUAAGUACACCCUUAAGGGGGGAAGCGGGUAAGAGAAAUGCAAGUGUAAGAUGGAAACAAUUGACACUGCAACAUAUUUGAUAUGGAUGUUUAAACUUCAAGAGAGAUCCCUUGCUGAGACACGUUAGUAAGAUCUAAAAGCCAGCAAUGAAUGGAUAGAAGUCAGGAUGGUAAUUGAGACAGUGCUGAGAAUUAUUUGUAAAGAUCGUGAAUGAUAUGACAUUAGAAAGUGGGUGCUUAUAAAAAAAAAAGAGUACGACAAGAGAAUGGUAACGAGUAACUUAAGAGAUAUUAUAAAGGAUAGCAACGUUAUACUGGAUUAGAGGCUAAGAUGUUGGCAAUAGAGUUGUUCGCUAAUGAUAUUGCGACUUACAAGUAGCAAAGGAAAAGGGAUAGAAAAUCUUCUAUAGUAGGAUAUGAGAAAAUCAAAGGGGAAUAAAGGAAGGGAAAGGAGUAUGACAAGAUAGGCAACGAGUGAGUUUUAGUACAAAUGAGAUAUGUAAAGCAGAAUGAACCAGGAGAAGGAAAGACUGUGACUAAGAUUGAAUAUACUUUAUACAAGUUGUACAAGAAUAGUUAUGCAACCUACGAAUAUUUGUAUGCUAAGAAGGAGAUCAAGCAAGAAGAGUAAGGAUUCAGUAAUAACAAUGCGGUGGUGAUAUUUUGGAUACAUUAAGAAAAGAUGUAAAGAUGGUUUAAGCUAAAUUACUGAGAUAGAAUUAAUACUGAGGGAAAAUAGGACAUGGCCAUGGUUGAGCCGAAGGUUUAUCCCGAUACCGAUUGUAAGAUAAGAGAAGAGAAUGCAAGGUAAAGCAUGAAGACUAGGGAAACAACGCUAAGGUAUUUCUUGGGCUAAUUUGAGCACCUUCACAUAUUCUUGUAAAUAUUACAAUAGCGCGUGUGAUAGGAGGACUAAGAGCAGAACCUGAGUAAAGAGUGGGAGUAGACCUAUAAGAAUUAGAAAAGAAAACAGGAGGAACCAAUAUGCGAUGGUAAACCUACCAAAUGGAAAGACAUUUCCUAUUCUACAGUGUUGCAGAAAAGGUAAACCCAAAAUAAGAAAAAUUCGACUUAAGCUUCAAGUGUAGGUGGAUAUAUUAGAUUGCAACUAAUUAUGGGAGUAGCCAAAUUAUGACCACUUUCCUUGGACAUUCAAUACUAACUGAUGUCGGGAGGACAGUGGUAUUAAGUUAAGCAAGGAGAGACACGGCAUGAUAGAAGAGUAAUUGACUGGCCACCAUAACCAGUAUACUUAUAUAGGACUUGUUUAACAUUCGAGGACGAAUGUUCUAAAGGGGGAAGGAUGUUACAUCCCGUAUUUUCGUACGUCGGAAAGCGUGCGAGUUAAAUGAUGUUAGUAACGAACACGAGGUUAUCCCCCAAGCUUAUAGGUGGUUAAAGUGAUGGUACAUAUGUACUGUAAGGAUUUGAAGUUAAACGAAUCUAAGAAAAUGAGUUUUGUCGAGGAUCGAAAUUUAUUUGAUGAAAUACGAUCCAAGCCAUAAUAUCCCGUAUUUUUGGAUUAGGAAAAACUUAAUCGUCCAAUAUGAGCAAAAUUUACUCGAGCCCGGAGAAUUCGAUCAUAUCCAAGGAUGAAAAUUAAGAGCUCGGUGUAUACAAGGAAUGAAGUCCCAAAAUGAUUUGAGACGAAAAAGAGUGACGGCGAUGAUUGAAAAUAAUAUUUUAUGUGUGGCAAAUGAGGCUAUGGGCUAUGUUAUACUACAUGAUUAUGAUAAUGAGCAUAUGAAGUGUAUCAAAAAUGAUUUAUUUAAGUAAAUUGAGGUCAAGAAAUUAAUUAUGUGUGUAUUGGAGAAUUGUAUUGGAAAAAGCAAGAAAUUAAUUAUACUAUUGGAUAGCUAUUAGUGGACAUGGUCCACGUGUUUUAUUUAAAUGGGCUGUAAGCCUACAAGGACGUACAUGCACAUUGUUCCUUUGUCAAUUAGUGAUGACUAAUUAAAAAAAAUGGGCCAGCCAAGAUGACACGUGCAAAGGGCAAAACAAUGCACUAAAGUCUCUAUCUUUUAUAUUGAACUUUUCAUUUCUAGAAUACAUAUUCACAUGCUGCAAAUGGAUGUUGAAGGCAGCAACUAUUCUCCAUAGGCGUAGCAACUAUUUUCCAUAAGGCAGCAUUCAUUUGUAAGGUGAUAAAUAUUAAGGGUCGGAUCCAUGGACCACUAAAAGAGGUGAAAUCCAAAUCUUAUUCAAGUGAUGAAUAUAUUGGAAUGGAAAGUGAGGGCAGCAGCAACUUGUACGAAUUGCAAUGGAAUAUUUCCAUUGCUGGAGGAAAUUAACAUGACCGGAUAUCCUUAGUGGCAACACUGGUCAAUUUUGUUACGCAUUUAGCUCACUAUUUCAAUCUCAUCAUUCCGUUUAUCGCGUUGUAGGAUCCGGGCUUUCUUUGAAGUGAAGUAAGGUGGAAGAAGAUUAAAUCUUGGCAUAUAAGGUUAAAAGAGCGACGAGACGAACGGGUUACGAAUAGCCGCUAACAGGUGCAGAUACUCGCUUUGGUGAUCCGCCAGCUUAGGAUUCCCUUUCUGCUGCCUUGGAGAGCUCCGUUGUUCUGGAGUCUAGACUUUUGGUUUGAAUCUUAUGAUAUAUAUAUAUAUAUAUAUAUAUGUUAUCUAGGGGUACGACGGGGCCCUGUCCCGUCAUAUUUCGCUAUUCGUACUCUUAGAGGUCUGUAGAUAUAUGUGUGGGUUGUGUAUGGGUUCUGUUCAGCUGUGUCUAUGCGAUGUGCUGUGGUAUGAUGUUCGUCUAUAGUGGCGGCCUUGUCGGCUUGCAUACGGUAUUGAUAUGUGAUGGCAGCCUUGUCAGCUUGCGUAUUAUUUCACGAUAUGACUAGUUGUGACUCCUCAGGAGACAGUGAUCUGAAAGUAUAUAUAUAUGUGAUGA